GUGAUCGUUUUGGCAGCACAUAUACUAAAAUUGGAACAAUACAGAAAAGAUUAGCAUGGCCCCUGCACAAGGAUGACACACAAAUUUGCGAAGUGUUCCAUAUUAAA